CAGAGCACACCUGCAAGCUAGUCAUGCCAUUCAAACAUAAAAGUUGUUGCAAGAGGAGACAGUUGAGAAAGGAACAGGAAAAGAGGGUAGCAAAGCUCCCAAAUUAGAUUCUUUUGGAUUUUCUUCUAAGGACAUCGUUGAAGAUUUUGCUCAACACUAGGCUCAUCGGAUACAAUUCAAACAGGCCCACCUGUCCAGUGACACACCCAACAUCACCUGUUUCACAAAAACAUGACACGCAUCUAAGAGAAAAAGCAGAUGCCAACCAGAGAUGAGGAAUUUGAAGAAGAAGGGGGAGUGAGCAGGAGCGCCCCCGCUGGUAGUUGGUAUGUUGCCGGCAGCUGUGCUGUUGUUGCUGGUGGUGUUGGUGUCUGAGCCAGGAAGGUGGCGUUGUUUCCAACUAACAACACUGCUGCCUGGAACCAAGAGCCGCUCUGCUCACCACCAGAUCACCCUGAACAAACAAACAGGACAGAUGUGUUCAAGUCCAACUUUUUGUGAAACAGGAUCUACAGUAAUGUUACUUUUUUCCAAAUGUGCUGUACGAUCAAUACGUCAUUUUGUCUUCUCAUCAAGCUCUCUUGUGAGUGUGUAAAGUGAAUAAGCAAAUUUCCAGAGACGCCUUGAAAUGUGCUCAUUUUAAAGCGAGACUAUGCAACUUUGCCUGAACAGCAGUCACUGUGGUUACAUGUGGCAAUUAAGGAAUAAUGAAAAACGAUCAAACGUAAACAGUAGUGAGAGUUUAGAAGAGUUGAUUAAGAAAAAAGUUUGAGUCUAAGUCAGUUGAAAAUUUGUCUUCACCACUUUAAAAAUCUUUGCUAUAAUGGACGGCAAAUUGGAGUCCAAAAAAGCUCACUGGAGUCAUUAAAGUACUGGUGCAGUGCAUAAAAGCGUCAGCUAAAUGAAUGUAAUGUCAUAUAAUACUCUCUGUGUGGUUCAUAAAUGGUGAUAAAUGAUUCAAACAUCCUGGGAAGUGCACGCACAACUGUGCGUCUUCUACCGAGGCCCACUUUAACCUGCCGUUAGGCCCUGGGGCUGAGAGGUUUGGUAGACCCCCAAUAAAAACAAUAAAAAUGUGAUGCCUAAUUACUGCUUUUGUCUAUACUUUUGUGACAGCAAGCAUGAUCGGUACGCGUGCAGUAAGGAGUCACCUUAUGACCGAAAUCUAUGCAUUUUCUUAUUUCUGACCAUUUCAUAAACAAAAUAUCUACAACCUGGGGGAGUAAAGGUAUAAAUGAGUGUAUUAAUAAAUAUAACAUUAAAUAAAAAAUAUUGCUAGUAUAAUAGUAUAUUAACAGGUUACACUUUAUUUGGAUAAUCUGUUUAGCUAGUUUAUUAGUUGAGAUUCAGCUGUUUCACUAAUAAAACCAUUUUCUGAUAUUAGCCUACACCACUGUGGUUAAGGUUUAAUUAGCGCCAAUGUUUGUAUAUUCAUUAUAAUUUCGGAUAAUAGUAGGACUAUAGGCUACUAUAGCUUACAAUUAGAAGCCUAAUAUUAAUUCCAGUUUCAUUUUAGUGGGUUUCUUCAGUCAUAAUAUUACUGUGCAUGAAACAUGCUCUACAUGGUGGUUAGUCUCUCAUUUGUUACGCAAAGUAGGCUUCUCAGUAAUAAUAACCAUGCAUACAGAGUUCAACAUUUCUAAAGUUCACUGUAGUGACUCAACCUUUUUUAAUGUCCCGCCUACUUCAGGCUGUGACUGGUUGGUUCGCGAAAAGUGACUUUGACAAGCAACCAUUCACAGGGGUGAUGAAAGGCAGUUGAUCUUCCCUGCGGAGA